rnacentral:rRNA from 1 species
UACGGAGGGGGCUAGCGUUGUUCGGAAUUACUGGGCGUAAAGCGCACGUAGGCGGCUUUGUAAGUUAGAGGUGAAAGCCCGGGGCUCAACUCCGGAAUUGCCUUUAAGACUGCAUCGCUAGAAUUGUGGAGAGGUAAGUGGAAUUCCGAGUGUAGAGGUGAAAUUCGUUGAUAUUCGGAAGAACACCAGUGGCGAAGGCGACUUACUGGACACAUAUUGACGCUGAGGUGCGAAAGCGUGGGGAGCAAACAGG